CUGGAGACACUGGAGAAGAUCAGAGCCUCAGAAGUCAUGAUUUUCCAUUGACGGAACAGACAAGUAGCUCCAGUCUGAGGAAGAAGUCAGACCAACAAUCACAGUUCCAGACUGAAGCACAGCAUCAGGGGUUAGAAGCUCAGAAGGAGAGACUCAUAACACAAGUUCUGGAGGCUGUACAUGGAGUGACCCAUGAUGAGGCUGCAGUGGCACUAAAAGAGAAUCACUGGAACUUCACAAUUGCAGUACAACAACUGAAGAUAGAUCAGCUGUAUGGAAUGACCCAGUACUCUCGUGAGGAAUGCAAACAAACCCUAAUCUCUUUCAACUGGGACCUGCAGAAGAUUUUCAGUGUCCUUACUCGCCCUGACAGUCAAAGGACAGUACUGCAAAGAUAAAUAGAGUUCAGAAAACUAAAACAGAACCAUAGACUAAAAAGACAAACUUUAAAACACAUUUUAAACAAUUUUAGAAUCAUUCAUAAGUUAUCUUUAUUCUAAUUCAACCUUUAAAUUACACAAAAAUGCAUAUUAAUAUGUAAUUGUAUACACAAGUUAAAUUACACAAGAAACUAAUCAUUUAAGUUAAAUUAAACUGAUUCAUAUUGUCUUGCUGACUUCUUUACACAUUUUACAUAAGUAACAUACUACUCUAACCUUAUUUACAGAACAUGUAUGCAAUGUCAUGUUUGUCCUGUUCAUACAGCUGUGGUUUUGUGCACUUUUGAAAACUGUUUUAGGAAAUGAAUCUCUUGAGAAAAACAAAGUUUGCACACAAAUGAACAAUAUCAGAUAUGUCAAAAAAAGUCCCAUGCUGUAAUUUUAGCAAAGUGAAAAAAUGCAAAAGUGCAGGAAAAUUCAUCCCCAAACUUUCCUAAAAUAGAGUGAAAUAUUAUACAAGAUAUAAGAUAGAAGGAAUCCCAUUCAUUUUGAAUCAGCAGCUUAUGCCUAAAGUGAAUAUGAUGCAUUCACAGUGUGUUGGGAUGAUAAUCCAGAGCUCUCAGAACAGUCAGAGUUUACAGGUUGUAUUUAUAAGUUCUUUGAGAACAUGGAUGCAGUUUACAAAUCAGAAUCUUGUUAUUGCAGUAAUGCCGUCACACUGUGAACACACCAUUAGUUCAGAGAAUCUCAGCUAAAUCGUAUUUAAAUGAUUUAAAUACGAAAAGUAGAUUUGACUCGGUACAGUAUAUAUUUUUACAGUGAAAUGUACAUGGAGAGCUGUGUGACAUCAGCACUCUCUAAGAUUGGCCAUUGUGAUUUAGUCAGAUGUUGUUUUAAAUUCUGUCUUGUGGUUUUACUACAAGACCCAGUUAAAGUACAGGACCAAAGUAAAUAUGUAUUACAGUUUUCGGUCUGACAUUGUAUGUCUGUGAACAUCUGCAACUUCUCAAAUUCAGAACAGAGAUUUCUACUCAGUGUUAAUCAAACCCACAUCAACAUUUAACUAAGAUUUUAAAUCCUCGCAUUAUGGCUGUGAGUGCAAAUUUAACAUAUACGUUCAAAUGUUCACUUGACCUUCCUCUCUUCUCUCCUCCUCUUCACUUCUUCUCACUUGAAAACUUCCUGUAACUUGAUCACUUUAUAUAUUGUAUGAAUCCAAAUCAAUUAACAUACUGUAUAAAUUCCUAUCUCUAAAUGGUGUGGAAACAAUUUUGCUUAUUAGGGUUUAAAUAGUAAGAAUUGUCUAUUAUUUAGAAACCAAUGUUAUGAUUUACAAUAUUUUACGGAUAACGGUUUUUAGUGCAACUCAUUUCAUCUAUCUGAUCAUUUUUGAUAUUUGAUUAUAAAAUUUUGUAAGUUUCUUUCAUUCAUUCGCAUAUAACCCUAAAGAAUAAGAAAAUCAGGGAAGCUGACUCUUUACAAGAAAAUGCUGAUUAAGGCAUAUGCAUCAAUGCUGAUAUUCUUCUGUUCCUGCUUUUUAUCAGUCAUAUUUCAUUUUUUCUAACACAGCUAUUGGAUAUGAUUUUGUGCAUAAUAUACAUUACAAUGAGGAACAACAAUGUUCUGUUUCAGAUUAUUCUCUGUAAGCUUUUAAUCCCAGCAAAAUAAACGGACGUUUGAUCAUUAA